rnacentral:rRNA from 1 species
AUGUACAAUGGGCACUUAACCAAAAGGAAUUUUCAUGAUCUUUGCACGAUGUUGCGUAUGAAGUGUGGUCUGGAAGAUAGCGUAUAUGUCACUGUAGAAGAAAAGGUUGCUAUGUUCUUGUUGGUGGCUGGACAUGGUAUUAAAAUGAGAGUGUUGCGUGGCACUUACAAGCGUUCUUUAGAGACUAUCAGUAGGCACUUCUCGAAUGUGUUGACAGCCAUUCUUUCCCUAACCGGGAAGUUUAUCAAGCUUCCUGAUCCUUCUAUUGAACCUCCGGAUGAUUACAAAUGGAAGUGGUUUGGAAAUGCCUUGGGAGCACUAGAUGGGUGUCAUGUUGAUGUUUCUGUCGUUGCGGCUGACGAAGGGAGGUCAGGAACAGAAAGCAAGAUAUCACCACUAACAUGCUAG